rnacentral:rRNA from 1 species
GAUGAACGCUAGCGGCAGGCUUAAUACAUGCAAGUCGUGGGGUAGAGAGGUGCUUGCACUUCUUGAGACCGGCAAACGGGUGCGGAACACGUACACAACCUUCCUUUUAGAGGGGGAUAGCCCAGGGAAACUUGGAUUAAUACCCCGUAAGAUGUUGGUGAGGCAUCUCACUGAUAUUAUAGCAGCGAUGCGCUAGAAGACGGGUGUGCGUAUGAUUAGGUAGUUGGCGGGGUAAUGGCCCACCAAGCCUACGAUCAUUAACUGGUGUGAGAGCACGACCAGUCACACGCGCAAUGAGACACGGGCCCGACUCCUACGGGAGGCAGCAGUAAGGAAUAUUGGUCAAUGGACGCAAGUCUGAACCAGCCAUGCCGCGUGGAGGAUGAAGGUCCUCUGGAUUGUAAACUUCUUUUAUCUGGGGCGAAAAAGGGGAAUUCUUUCUCAACUGACGGUACCAGAUGAAUAAGCACCGGCUAACUCCGUGCCAGCCGCCGCCGUAAUAC